ACCAGCGGCGUAUAGGUUUGGGUUCUGUUGCAGAGAUAUUACCACUGCAUGCUGACGUACUAUCCAAGCAUACCGAGAUAUUAUCUGGGCGACAGC
rnacentral:lncRNA from 1 species